rnacentral:rRNA from 1 species
UCCGGAGGGGGCUAGCGUUGUUCGGAUUUACUGGGCGUAAAGCGCACGUAGGCGGGUUGUUAAGUCAGGGGUGAAAUCCUGGAGCUCAACUCCAGAACUGCCUUUGAUACUGGCAACCUAGAGGCUGGAAGAGGUUAGUGGAAUUCCCAGUGUAGAGGUGAAAUUCGUAGAUAUUGGGAAGAACACCAGUGGCGAAGGCGGCUAACUGGUCCAGAUCUGACGCUGAGGUGCGAAAGCGUGGGGAGCAAACAGG